rnacentral:rRNA from 1 species
AUGACAGAUGCAUGGACAGACAAAAGAGGAAGGGGAGUGAUGAAUUUGGUAGUUCACAGCGCCUAUGGUGUUGACUUUGUUGAUUCCGUUGACUGUUCAGAUGUGAGAAAAGAUGGCGAGAUGGUAUUUGAGCUUGUUUGAUGCAUAGAAGAAAUUGGUGAGAAGAAUGUAGUUCAAAUUGUAACAGAUAAUGCCUCUGUCAAUAUAUCAGCAGCAUCAAUGAUGAAAGUGAAGCGCCCAUCCCUAUUUUGGAAUGGUUGUACAGCCCACACAAUUGAUUUGAUGUUGGAGGACAUAGGCAAGCUGCCUAUAAUGGAUCAAACCAUUGCCAAAGGAAGGGCUCUGACUGUGUUCAUCUAUGCACAUACAAGAGUUUUGGCAUUGCUGAGGAAGUAUCUUGGAAAAGACUUGGUCUGUUCUGGUAUUACUAGGUUUGCCACAGCAUAUAUGAAAUUGAAGAGCAUGCAGGACAACAAAAAGGAGUUGCAGAAGUUGUUCAGGUCCGACGAACUCAAUGAGAUGGACCACCUAAAGAAGGCAAUGGGGAAGAUUGCAGCUAAAACUGUUCGCUCUGAAACUUUUUGGAAGGCAGUAGAUACCGCUGUUAAUUUCUUUGAGCCAAUGGCAAAUCUUUUGAGGAGGAUGGAUAGUCAUGUGCCGGCAAUGGGGUCUCUUCAUGGCUGUAUGUUGGAUGCAAAGAAAGAGAUCUCCGUGAGGUUUCACAAUGACAAGUCUCGAUUUCUAGAAGUGUGGGACAUCAUUGACAAGAGAUGGGACAACAAGUUGAAGACUCCAUUACAUAUGGCUGGAUACUACUUGAACCCAUACUACUAUUAUCCAAGGAAGCUUGAUAUUGAGAUUGAUGGUAGUUUCAAACAAGGACUAAUAACUUGUAUUUCAAAGAUGAUUGAAGAACCUAUCAUGCAAGAAGAAAUAAUCGAUGAGAUUGACCAUUCUCAAGAGGGAUAG